rnacentral:RNase_P_RNA from 1 species
GAAGUUCGCCAGGCAGUCGCGCUGCACCAUGUGUGCACCGAGGAAAGUCCGGGCCCCGCAGGGCAGGAUGCCGGCUAACGGCCGGGCGCUAUAAGUCGAAAGACCCAAGGCGACGGAAAGUGCAACAGAAAGCAAACCGCCGAUGGCUCCGCAAGGAGAUCAGGUAAGGGUGAAACGGUGUGGGCCCUGGUGAAAAUCAGGGCGCAUGUUGUGCGUGAGCAUGACUGGGUAAGAGCCCACCGCAGUCUCUGGUAACAGGGCUGGCACGGUAAACCCCAUCCGGGGCAAGGCCAAAUAGGGGGGUGUUGAUGUGGCCCGCAGAGCCCCCGGGUAGGCUGCUAGAGCUUCACGGUAACGUGAAGCCGAGAUGAAUGACUGCCCCGCAUCCGCAAGGAUGCGCGACAGAACCCGGCUUAUCGGCGAACUUCCCUU